AUGAAUUUAUUCCUGGAUAAACCCUUCGAGCCAGAGGAGGUCUGUACUGCACUUUUUCAUAUGUCACCUUCCAAAGCUCCGGGCAUUGAUGGGUUUACGAUAGGUUUUUUUCAAAGACACUGGAACCUUAUUCAAGGUGACAUUGUGCCGGCUAUCCUUGGUUUUUUGAAUGGUGGUGACUUACCGGUGGGCUUUAAUGAUACAUCGAUCACACUCAUCCCCAAGGUAAGAAACCCAUAGUCUAUAACUCAAUACCGACCCAUCUCUUUGUGUCCAGUGCCCUACAAGAUUGGGGCUAAGAUGAUCACUAACCAUUUGAAAGAGAUUAUGGAUGCAGUUGUGGGAGUGGAACAGAGUGCAUUUGUUCCCGGCCACUUGAUUACUGAUAAUGUGGUGGUCGCCUUUGAGAGUGUCCAUACUAUGAGAAGGCGAAAGGGGAAGAAUUAUACAUGUGCUAUCAAGUUGGACAUGAUGAAGGCCGGCCGUGUUGAAUGGCAUUAUCUGGAGGCAAUCAUGCUCAAGCUUGGUUUUAGCAGUAAUUUUGUGAACUUGAUUAUGAGAUGUGUAUCUUCGGUCAGGUUCUCGGUGAGGGUGAAUGGAGAACUACUACCAUAUUUCACACCGUCAUGUGGAUUGCGACAAGGGGAUCCAGUAUCACCUUUCCUUUUUUUCUUAUGUGCAGAAGGCCUUACUUCUCUGCUUAACUAUUAUGGAGGUCCUAAUGUUGAUAGAGGCAUAAAAGUGUCCUUUCAUGCACCGUGGGUGAGUCAUUUGUUAUUUGCCGACGAUAGCCUUAUCUUCGUCAGUGCAACACAUGAGAGUGCACACAGGCUGAAUGAGAUUCUGCUCAUAUAUGCCCUAUGCUCCGGCCAGUCUGUGAACAGAGAUAAAAAUGCAGUGCUCUUCUCACCAACUACUCCCACUCCUAGAAGGAAAGCUUUGAAGACUGUCCUUGGUAUCCAAGUUGAGGUGUUCAGUGAUAAAUACCUGGGAUUACCCACUGCGGUUGGAUGGAUUACUAGUGAUACUUUUGAUCAUAUUGGCGAGAGAUGAAGAAGCAAGAUGAACGGUUGGGCUGAGAGACUUCUCGCUUGUGUUGGGAGAGAGGCACUUAUUAAGUCAGUCAUUCAAGCCAUCCCAACAUUCAGUAUGAGUUGCUUCAAACUAACAAAGAAGGUGUGUAAAAGCCUUACAACUAGUAUGGCAAGUUUUGGUGUGGAGUGGUUCCCUCGAUUGCAGAUCGUUGCAUUGGGUGGCAUGUGUUGGAAAUAUGCCCUAGAGGCAAUAAUAAAAGUAUUAUUAUAUUUCAUUGUUCAUGAUAAUUGUCUUUUAUUCAUGCUAUAA
rnacentral:rRNA from 1 species